AACGAACGCUGGCGGCAGGCUUAACACAUGCAAGUCGAGCGCCCCGCAAGGGGAGCGGCAGACGGGUGAGUAACGCGUGGGAAUCUACCCAUCCCUACGGAAUAGCUCCGGGAAACUGGAAUUAAUACCGUAUACGCCCUACGGGGGAAAGAUUUAUCGGGGAUGGAUGAGCCCGCGUUGGAUUAGCUAGUUGGUGGGGUAAAGGCCUACCAAGGCGACGAUCCAUAGCUGGUCUGAGAGGAUGAUCAGCCACAUUGGGACUGAGACAUGGCCCAAACUCCUACGGGAGGCAGCAGUGGGGAAUAUUGGACAAUGGGGGCAACCCUGAUCCAGCCAUGCCGCGUGAGUGAUGAAGGCCUUAGGGUUGUAAGGCUCUUUCACCGGGGAAGAUAAUGACGGUACCCGGAGAAGAAGCCCCGGCUAACUUCGUGCCAGCCGCCGCAGUAA
rnacentral:rRNA from 1 species